AUCUGUCUUUGGAGGCCAAACCAGGAAGAGGUGAUGUCAUGAUGGCUAUCGCUUACAAUGCUCCAGCCAGCUCCAGAUGUACAGACCCCCCUUCUCUCCUGAGGUAUGAUGACCUCAGCCUGGUUCUACAGAGGGAACAUCUGCUUGAUGAUCUGGUUAGCAGGAUGUAGACGUCAUAGAAAUAUCUUUGGCAAGAAGAUCCAGCUAAAUAUUAAAUAUACUGCUUGAAACUGUGACCUUUACAUUCUUCAGCGCUGUAUCGGAUGACUCAGCAUAUCUUCUCACUCCAAUGAUGAUCUAUCACAAGAUGUCUAGUCCAUUGUAAAACACGCUAUCAAAUUGAACCUUUUAUUUGUGA